UACGAAGGGGGCUAGCGUUGUUCGGAAUCACUGGGCGUAAAGCGCACGUAGGCGGAUUGUUAAGUCAGAGGUGAAAUCCCGGAGCUCAACUUCGGAACUGCCUUUGAUACUGGCAAUCUCGAGUCUGGAAGAGGUUGGUGGAACUGCGAGUGUAGAGGUGAAAUUCGUAGAUAUUCGCAAGAACACCAGUGGCGAAGGCGGCCAACUGGUCCAGUACUGACGCUGAGGUGCGAAAGCGUGGGGAGCAAACAGG
rnacentral:rRNA from 1 species